AAAGGAUGGUGCCUGCUGGGGUCUUGCAGAUACCUCAGGACUUCAUUUCAAUGAAGCGGUUCUCCACGAUGUCAAUAUGGCCCACGCUGUGCUUGCCUGCGACUUCAUUCAGAUCACUAAACGAAGGCAGACAUCAACAUUUCUGGAUUCAGGGUCCAGAGUGCUCACCAUUACACCAUGGAACCUCAAACCAGACAUCAACGUCUCUAAUGAGUCUUUCUUUAUUCCAAUAAAAGAAAAUGGUCAGUGAGAGGUUGGUUUAGAUGAUUUGGGAAAAGGUAAUAGAAGUCCUGUUCACAAGGUUGAUACUGUGUACCCCCAGCAAGUUAUGUCACCUCUUCUGGUCCUUGGUUUUAUCAUUUCUUUUUUUCUUUUUUUAAAGAGUAGUCAAGUCCCAACAAUCAAUUGAGAUAAC
rnacentral:lncRNA from 10 species